rnacentral:rRNA from 1 species
AUUGAACGCUGGCGGCAGGCCUAACACAUGCAAGUCGAGCGGAUGAAGGGAGCUUGCUCCUGGAUUCAGCGGCGGACGGGUGAGUAAUGCCUAGGAAUCUGCCUGGUAGUGGGGGAUAACGUCCGGAAACGGGCGCUAAUACCGCAUACGUCCUGAGGGAGAAAGUGGGGGAUCUUCGGACCUCACGCUAUCAGAUGAGCCUAGGUCGGAUUAGCUAGUUGGUGGGGUAAAGGCCUACCAAGGCGACGAUCCGUAACUGGUCUGAGAGGAGGAUCAGUCACACUAGAACUGAAACACGGUCCAGACUCCUACGGGAGGCAGCAGUGGGGAAUAUUAGACAAUGGGAGGAAGCAUGAUCCAGCCAUGCCGCGUGUGUGAAGAAAGUCUUCGGAUUGUAAAGCACUUUUAGUUGGGAGGAAGGGCAGUAAGUUAAUACCUUGCUGUUUUGACGUUACCAACAGAAUAAGCACCGGCUAACUUCGUG